CGGAGAGCUUCCACCUUUGCCACUCCUUUUCUAGAAAUACCCACUUGGGCUAUCAUAUUUGCCAACAUUACUAACAAUUGGGGCUACUUUCUUCUUUUAUCAUGGAUGCAUGUUUACUUCAAAACUGGCUGUACUGUGGGCAGCAAUAGCAGUUUCAAGAUAUGUGACAAGAUUGUCGUCGGAUUUCAUAAUAGG